rnacentral:rRNA from 1 species
AUUUGAAAUCUCCGAGGCUUGAAAGCUUCGGCGAGUUGUAGUUGCGAGAAGCACUUUCUAGGCGGACCGACCGUGCCUAAGUUGCUUGGAACAGCACGUCGCAGAGGGUGACAACCCCGUCUGUGGCGCGGACGGCCGCCGACGAUGUGCUUUCGAAGAGUCGGGUUGUUUGGGAAUGCAGCCCAAAACGGGUGGUAAACUCCAUCUAAAGCUAAAUACUGGCGUGAGACCGAUAGCGAACAAGUACCGUGAGGGAAAGAUGAAAAGGACUUUGAAAAGAGAGUUAAAAAGUACGUGAAACCGUUGGAAGGGAAACGAAUGGACUCAGCAAUGCGCCGUUUGAGAUUCAGCCGGCGGGUGGCGUCGGCCCGGGGUUUGCGGAUCUGAAUGGACCGCGGUCCCGGGCCCGGUGCUCCCGGUCGUCGCACUUCUCUUGGGCGCGCGUCAACGUCGGUUGGGACUGGGUCUGAAAGGUGCCGGGAAGGUAGGUCUGUGCGUUCCCCUCUUCGGGGGGGGUCGCUCGGUCUGUUAGAGCCCGGUUCUCCUCGCGGCUCGGGCCCGACCGAGGCGGUUGCAGCGCAUGCCUCUCGCAAGGCUAGGGUCCCGUCCCUCCGGCCGGUUGUCGAAUGCGGUGGACUGCUUGCAGUGCUCCGCGAAUGCUGCCGGUCGUUGGGGUGGUGAUCUCGUACCAUGCGCUUAAGAUGUUGGCGGUCAUAUGGGUCCAUCCGACCCGUCUUGAAACACGGACCAAGGAGUCUAACAUGUGCGCGAGUCUUUGGGUGCUCGAAACCCCGAGGCGCAAUGAAAGUGAAGCUGGCUCCGGCCAGUGAGGCGAGAUCCCCGGUCGUCUUGCGGCGACCGGGGCGCAUCGUCGACCGACCUAUUCUACUCUUAGGAAGGUUUGAGUAAGA